CCCUGCCAUUUGUACACACCGCCCGUCGCUCCUACCGAUUUCGAGUGAUGUGGUGAAUCUUAUGGACUGCGGCAGGCUUCAGUCUGCUGCGGAAAGUUUGGUGAACCUUAUCACUUAGAGGAAGGAGAAGUCGU
rnacentral:rRNA from 1 species